GCAUUAAAAAGCAGAGGCUCUGAUCCAGCUUUGUUGCCCUGAAAGGGAACGUCUGUUGUAAACAACGUUCUGGACCUCGUCGACAAGAACUCCACUCCCAACUCUGCAAAGAUUAGAUUUUACAUUUAGUCUGCCAUUACCCUCUGACCUUAGUGAACAGGAUGAAGGUGACCAGGUAUUCUCAUUCUUCAAACAAAGCAUGGCCACGGUUUUGAAUGGGCUGCUGCAUCCUCUGCCAGCGUGUGAUGCCACAUCUGGAUUCUACUUGCUGCCCUGGUGAUUGGCAGAGCCUCACGGUUUCUUCUGGAAUGAACAGCCAUUGCUGAUUCGAGACACAUCGAAGAACAAUCCAGAGAACAGAAUCCAUUUGAGAUAAAGAAGACACCUUUCAUAUCAGUAACUGGAAGACAGUCAAGGAGACCUCUCUGAGAUCCUGCAUUGACCCCCACAGACAGCUUCCUGUUCCACUGGAAUUAGAGGCAGUUGGGGAAAGUCUCAAAUCAUCAC
ensembl:antisense Gm15133 predicted gene 15133